rnacentral:rRNA from 1 species
GAUGAACGCUGGCGGCGUGCCUAAUACAUGCAAGUCGAGCGAACGGACGAGAAGCUUGCUUCUCUGAUGUUAGCGGCGGACGGGUGAGUAACACGUGGAUAACCUACCUAUAAGACUGGGAUAACUUCGGGAAACCGUAGAUAAUAACGGAUAAUAUUUUGAACCGCAUGGUUCAAAAGUGAAUGACGGUCUUGCUGUCACUUAUAGAUGGAUCCGCGCUGCAUUAGCUAGUUGGUAAGGUAACGGCUUACCAAGGCAACGAUGCAUAGCUGACCUGAGAGGGUGAUCGGCCACACUGGAACUGAGACACGGUCCAGACUCCUACGGGAGGCAGCAGUAGGGAAUCUUCCGCAAUGGGCGAAAGCCUGACGGAGCAACGCCGCGUGAGUGAUGAAGGUCUUCGGAUCGUAAAACUCUGUUAUUAGGGAAGAACAUAUGUGUAAGUAACUGUGCACAUCUUGACGGUACCUAAUCAGAAAGCCACGGCUAACUACGUG